UCCUGUGUGUUUGGAGUCCCGGCACGGCCGUAGGUCUGGCACGUUUGCGGUGCCUCGGCGCUGCCAGACCCUGCUCGGCACAUGAGCCGGACAGGGGCUUCUCCAGAGCCCUGCUCUCCCCGCAGGGCUUGUCUCCCUCCCAGCGAGGACAGAAAGCACAAGCAGUGACGGUAUCCACACAGACGGAUGGGGUCUGCUUGGCCUGUGCAGAUGUGUUUUGUAAUUUCUACAUGAUGCCUUUCACCUGUGGGCCUGGGAGGACUUUACAGGUAUUUUGGGCAUUUGGCAAAUAUGUCUGUACCUAUUCCACGGGUUUUGGAACCCUGUUAGAGAUACAACUGCCAGGUAAAGGGGAUUGUUUGGCGGUGGCACAGUAUCGCAGUAAGAACUGCAAAAAUAAUUCAGGACUCCUGAUACUUUUUCUCCUGUCAUAGUCUCCAGGCAACAGCAAAUAUUUCUCCUGAAUACUCUGGAUGAGCAGAUGCCAACGUUGAUUCACAGGAAAAGGAUGUAGCCACGCAAGCCAUAGAAAUGUUGUUUGGGAUGGUAGCCACGGCCCCUAAGGAGACAUUAAGCAAUAUGGAAAAACUGCCAAUGAAGCUCUUAAAGCUCUUGCUGUGUUUGCUAUAAAGAGAUUUCUUGAGAAGCCUUAGCAAUUUUUCUGACCAGACAAACACUUCCAGUGUGCAUGAAAACAGAACCGGAGAUGUUUUGAAAACAUGCAAAAGUUUGUUUCAAAAGCGAGCAGUUGGAAAGAAAUAGAGGGCAGACAGCCUGGGGGAGGCCAGUGGUCCAUGGCCUGGCCUGUGGGGUUAUCAGUGUGUCAUCCAGAUUGGCAGGGCCUUCCAGUGAAUCAUUCAGACCUUCUCUUUUAACUGUGGCAGGGCUGCACUCCCUGUUGUCACACCACCUCUCAGGCAGAGGGGGUUGACUAUUGAUAGCCUUGAAUGUCUCCAGCACCGAGGCGUGCACAGCAUUCCCUUGUCAGGGAGUUCCAAGGCUCAGGCAGUUUUAACUUCUCUGUACUAACUUAUACUGAACCUGAAUGUCUCCUGCAGAGGUUUGUGGCCACUAACUUUUUGUCCUGUUGCCUUUGAUUAACAAGACUGGAGCCCAAUUUCCAGACAAAGUCCUGCAAAAUGGCACGUGUGGUUUUACCUUCCAGCUUUCCUGCCAGCUGUUCUCUUCUCCAGCCUGUUCCCAGGGAAUGUCAUUUUCAAAACAUUUUCACGCUUCUCUUCACAUGCCUGCUAGAAAUAUAGGCGGUCCUAGACCCACCCUGGACUUUCAUUUUAAGCCUGGCUCUGCACUUGGUGAUGCUGUCCUGCCUUUGGUUCUUGAGGUGCUAAAUUUAACCUUCCUGGCCUAAUGUGGGAUGAGGUCAGGAGAAAAGCACCAUGUCAAAUUAUACUGGUUCUGCUAGCAAUACAGUGGGAAUCAGAGUUCCACCUCCUGUCACAGCACUGUGCUGCCAACCAGGGCCCUGCCCCAUUACUGUGGGCCGUCCUGGCUGCCCUCACUCAGCCUGGCCCUGGUGGGUGCCUCAUUAUGCAGAGUUUAUGCCCAGUGGCUUGCAUGUAUGAAUAAGUGUGCAUACCUAAUAUCUAGUAACUAGCUCUGCUAUUAGCACUGUGCUUCACAGCACCCAGGGUCCCUGGGCUGUCACCCCACUGUCAGGCUGGAGCAGCCUGGGGCCCCCACCAGUGCACUCAAAGGAAGCCAUACUCCUGCCCUUUGGUUUUCCUCAUGAAGGAGAGACAUUAUUCCCUAUCCCCAGGGAACAUCAGCUUUGAAACACGGAGCUGAUUUGUUUCCAUUUACCAUUAUCUUGGUUUAAGUAAAUUACAGCUCUUAACAGCGGUCAUAAAAUUAUCUGGCUUCAAAAAAAUUCAGCUGUAGAAUUUGGUCCUGUGGCCUCCCUGAUCAGCUCAUUUCCAAGGGGCAAACAUGCACUGGGAAAAGAAACGAUCUCUCCUUGUUCAUCACAAAUGGUCACCUCCCCAUUGUAUCAGCAGCUGCCUGCCUAGUGCUGCUCAUUGUAGAAAAGUACAGCAAACCUUUCACCAUGCACUGCUUCACCCUUCUGAAUUACUCUGCCAAGGUAUUUAAACCAACCAAGUCAUCCACCAUCCCUCACCAGCGGCCACCACGUCACCAACAUUUUAGAAUCAGGUUCUGCCCUGGAGAGGAGGUUCCUUGGCAAAGCAGUGAUGACCCUCACUGCGGGAUUUUGGAUCACCUCUGGCUAUACUGCAAGUAAAAUAUUUUCCCUUAACAUCUGCCUCAUCUGAAAGGUGAGUGGCAGGCAGGCUGGUUCUAGGAAUCUGGAAGCUGAGUGGCAGGCUGGCUGGGUUUAGGAAUCACUCUUGACCUGUGUUAGGAUUUCAGCAACGAGAAUCUGGUUUCCAAUUGUGGUAUCAUAAGGAAAGAGGAUAGACCAGAUGCUUAGCAUAUCCAAAUAAAAACCCCAAACCAAUAAAAUCUUAUUUUAGUUGCUAAAACAGAAAUUAGGAGUCUAAAUACCCAUAAGGAGUAGAUGAGCUGGACAACCAGCAAUAUCAGACAAGCAUUGUUCUAGCAAUGGUAUCUGCGCUUUAUUUCUGUUGGCGAGUGUAGGUAGUGAUGUGUCUCUUUCUUCAUUCAAAAACUGGCAGAUAGCAAGGCCAAGAUGACAAUUUAUAUAUAAUUAGAAUUUCAAAAUAAUAUAUUAUGCCCCAUUUUCUGGUACAUAGAGAUUAACUGUGAAAAGGCAGAGCUGGCAGAAAUGUGGAUUUCUUCAAUAUUUGCACAUCUGGUUUUGUGCUCCUGCUGGUAGGACUGGGAAUGCCAUGACUUUCCCGCAUGUGGCAAUGAAAAUUGAUCAGGGGUCCAGCCUGCUCCUCUGCUUAAGCUAAGUAAAACACAAAAAGUGGACAAGAAACAUGAAUGCAAAAAAAAGUAAAAUCCAGUCCAGCUCCAGGUAAAGGCAAUGUACCAACUCCUUUUCAGUACUCUCUGACACACACAAUUGGUCCUUGAACUGCUGUCAUUUGGUCUGCUAGUAAAACAAAUCAUAAUGUUCAAUAUGAAGCAAACCAGGGAGAGAGGAAGAAACUGCAAUUCAGCAGUAAGCAUCUGAGCACUGUGGAGCAAGUGCUGGUGGGGACUGGAGCCUGCAAAUCCAGCCAAGGGCCCCUAACUCACAGGCUGUGCUAGAUCUCAUGUGAUUCCCAAAUGCAGUAGGGAAUGAGGGACAGGGAAAAACCUGCUCUAGGAACUGACUGUAUUUCGUCCAGCACUCAACAGCUGUUUUGGGUCCUACUUCGCAAAAGAUUAAAUAAUUAAAAAAAAAGAAAAAAAAAGAAAAAAAAAGAAAAAGAAAAGAGUGAGUGAAAUUGAGAUGGGGAAAAGAAAGCGUCCCAAAUAAACAUGUUUUUGAUGGAGGAACUGGGUUUUUGUACCCUAGCACUGUUUGUACUUUCAGAUUGUCAGCAAUCUGUAGCGUGCUGAGCAGAGGACAGUGUGGUGGAAAUACCUAUGAAGCAGUGAGAGCCUUAUCAAGGUACUGUACCAGGAAAUACAGCGCUUUCUUUCCUACUUCAUGCACGAUACUGUGAUUAAAACCAACAGCACGCCUCAUCAUAACAUGUGCCUUAUCAGCCCCACCAUCUGAUGACAGCAGCAGCCCUCGGGAGAGCAGGCUGACAUCAUCCAAAACCUCAGGAGCUCAAGACCCAACAUAGAUUUACCACACCCCAGUUAUUUCAGACCUGGAUAGCAGCAUGGAAAAAGAUUACCAGUCAUCUGGAGCUGCUUCCUUAUGCCUUGGACAAAAGAAGAUCAUAUGGGACCACAUUCAUUCAAGAGCUGCCUUUGUGUUUGUACAGAACCCAGCAUGAGUGAGCCUACUCCUUCUUCCAGUUCGCCCUGCUACAAAAUUGUUCUUAAAAACACCCUCUGCUUUUAAUGUUUGGGUUUUGGUUGGUUUGUUUUUAGCUGCAAUGCAAGCUUUCAGAGGGAGAUCAGGCCAGAUUUAAAUGCUGAAUGCAUGCAUAGCUGCAAAGCAGGGCGACCCAGCACGGCUGCGGAGUGUCCAUUAGAGCCCCGGGCCAUGCGGGCUCUGCGGGGCCCCUCUGCCUGCUGGCACCCCGGCCAGCGGCGCUCCGGGCAUUUUGGGGUGUCCCCGCACCUGUCACAUGGAUUUGGGGGCUGCUUUGCCCAAGAGACCCUCUCUCGCUGGGCACGCUCGCUGCUGCCACAAACUCUGCGGCUCCCGGCCCUCCAUCACCCCGCCAGGAUGGCACCCAUGGGCACCGGCUCCUUCGGCAGCCCGGGCAGGCUGAGAACACCCAGCCGAAGGAAAAUACACGGCCUUCCGUGUUACUGCCUCCGUGAGGGCUUGGCUCGAGGGAUGGGCUGCAAAGUCUGGUGGAAUUAAGACUUGCCUUUUAAGAUAGAGCAUUAGAUAAAUCCAGCUGUGUUGUGGGACUGCUGGAAGCCUCCCCGAACAAGUGUGGGGAACUCGUAGUGGUUUUUGAGGCAUAGCGCUAUUGUCUAUUUUGUUGAACGUAUUUCUUUGUCUUGAUGAACUUUAAGGAGCACUGAGAACACAAUGUGCCAUAGGGGAAGGAGUUACAGAAAGACAUGAUUAGAAAAUGGAACAAUUAAAAAAAUUCUUCUCCUACAAUGUUUUCUAAAAUAUUCCUGUUCAGAAGCACACUUGCUUUUUUCUGCCUGAUAGACCCCGGGCUCUUACCCGGCUCUGCUACAUUACUCAGUUAGUGCUUUAGUUGAUUUGCUCUCAUCGUUGCUAAAAAUACUGUAAAAACCCACUUUUAAAUAAAGGACACAGUGAAAGGUU